UACGGGGGGGGCAAGCGUUGUUCGGAAUUACUGGGCGUAAAGGGCGCGUAGGCGGCCUUCUAAGUCGGACGUGAAAUCCCUCGGCUCAACCGAGGAACUGCGUCUGAUACUGGAAGGCUUGAAUCCGGGAGAGGGAUGUGGAAUUCCAGGUGUAGCGGUGAAAUGCGCAGAUAUCAGGAGGAACACCGGUGGCGAAGGCGGAUCUCUGGGCCUUACCUGACGCUCAGGUGACGAAAGCUAGGGGAGCGAACAGG
rnacentral:rRNA from 1 species